rnacentral:sRNA from 1 species
CUUGUACGACCAGCUUGCCGUUGAUGACUUGGUUGGCAUAAGCGUGAUCGUCGCCGGCUACGAUGACGU